CCUGGAUGCAUUGUAAAUGGAUUUCCUCUUCCACAGGGUCUGGCUGUUUUGCCCAGAAUGGAGUGCAGUGGCGUGAUGGUCUCGGCUGACAGCAGCCUCGACCUCCUGGGCUCAAGCCUUGGCCUCCCAAAGUGCUGGGAUUACAGCCACCAUCCUGUGAGGAAGCCCAGAGCACAUGAAGAGACCACCUGCACAUGUUCAGAUCCACUGCCCCAGCUAAGAUCUCCGCUGACAGCCAGACCAAUCACCAAUCUUAGGAGCUGGCGAGCCUUCAGAUGGUCCAACCUUUGAGGCCCCCCAGAGGAGCCAGGUGGAGCAUAGAUGAGCCAUCCAUGUGGAUCCCUCCACCAAAUGGAAGAUUUAGGAGCAAAAUAAACAAUGUUGUCAUUGCUUUCACCCACGAAA
rnacentral:lncRNA from 1 species